rnacentral:rRNA from 1 species
GAUGAACGCUGGCGGCGUGCCUAAUACAUGCAAGUCGAGCGAACAGAUGAGGAGCUUGCUCCUCUGACGUUAGCGGCGGACGGGUGAGUAACACGUGGAUAACCUACCUAUAAGACUGGGAUAACUUCGGGAAACCGGAGCUAAUACCGGAUAAUAUAUUGAACCGCAUGGUUCAAUAGUGAAAGACGGUUUUGCUGUCACUAUAGAUGGAUCCGCGCCGCAUUAGCUAGUUGGUAAGGUAACGGCUUACCAAGGCAACGAUGCGUAGCCGACCUGAGAGGGUGAUCGGCCACACUGGAACUGAGACACGGUCCAGACUCCUACGGGAGGCAGCAGUAGGGAAUCUUCCGCAAUGGGCGAAAGCCUGACGGAGCAACGCCGCGUGAGUGAUGAAGGUCUUCGGAUCGUAAAACUCUGUUAUUAGGGAAGAACAAAUGUGUAAGUAACUAUGCACGUCUUGACGGUACCUAAUCAGAAAGCCACGGCUAACUACGUG